rnacentral:rRNA from 1 species
GAGUUUGAUCCUGGCUCAGGACGAACGCUGGCGGCGUGCCUCAGACAUGCAAGUCGUACGGGGCAGCGCAAGCUGCUUAGUGGCGGACGGGUGAGUAACACGUGGGCAAUCUGCCCGCAUGCUCGGGAUAACACCUCGAAAGGGGUGCUAAUACCGGAUGAUGUUGAGAGACCGCAUGGUCUUUCAACCGAAGGUGGCCUCUUAACAAUGCUGCCGCAUGCGGAUGAGCCCGCGACCCAUUAGCUAGUUGGUGAGGUAACGGCCCACCAAGGCGACGAUGGGUAGCCGGCCUGAGAGGGUGGCCGGCCACACUGGGACUGAGACAAGGCCCAGACUCCUACGGGAGGCAGCAGUCGGGAAUCUUGCACAAUGGGCGAAAGCCUGAUGCAGCGACGCCGCGUGAGCGAUGAAGGCCUUCGGGUUGUAAAGCUCUGUCUUGGGGGACGAAGGCCAUAGGGUGAACAGCCUUAUGGGAUGACGGUACUCCAGGAGGAAGCCCCGGCUAACUACGUGCCAGCAGCCGCGGUAACACGUAGGGGGCAAGC